rnacentral:rRNA from 1 species
CUAGCGACUUCGGAGUUUGAUCCUGGCUCAGGAUGAACGCUGGCGGCGUGCUUAACACAUGCAAGUCGAACGAAGCACUUACAAUUGAUUCUUCGGAAGAAAGAGUUUGUGACUGAGUGGCGGACGGGUGAGUAACGCGUGGGUAACCUGCCUCAUACAGGGGGAUAACAGUUAGAAAUGACUGCUAAUACCGCAUAAGCGCACAGUACCGCAUGGUACAGUGUGAAAAACUCCGGUGGUAUGAGAUGGACCCGCGUCUGAUUAGCUAGUUGGUAGGGUAACGGCCUACCAAGGCAACGAUCAGUAGCCGGCCUGAGAGGGUGAACGGCCACAUUGGGACUGAGACACGGCCCAA